GCCAGGCAUGGUGGUGUGUGCCUGUAAUCCCAGCUACUCAGGAGGCUGAGGCAGGAGAAUUGCUUGAACCCAGGAGGCGGAGGUUGCAGUGAGCCGAGAUCACGCCACUGCACUCCAGCCUGGGUGACAGAGUGAGACUCUGUCUCAA
rnacentral:SRP_RNA from 1 species